GGGAUUACAGCGCGUGAUUCCAUCCGUUCAACUUCCAUCAGCUGGGGCAUGUAAGAAGGGUUGGGGGCAGGCGAGGGACGGAGUUGAAGGCUGGUGGGGAAUCUCAGGAAAAUUCUCCGCCUGACUUACAAACAGCUGGUUACAUUUUACUCCUUUUCUAUGCCUUUGGGAGUGUUGGAAUUUGACUUUGUGCCUCCUGAAUUGGCCUCCUUGUAAUACGCCUUGGAACAUUGGAGGUGCGUUAAACUGCUUUUCAAUUGGAGUAGGAUUUAGCAGCCAUGUCUUCCCGAGAAAUCUUUGAAAUGGUCGUUCAGAAACUUAUGCAGGUCGAAUAUUUCAGGCGAGGCAACACUCUGUUAGCAAUGCGGAGAUAGUUGCGGUACAUGUGUGAAACAACGGAUCUCACGCUAUUACUGCUUAUUUUAGGCAUCUGCUGUGCAAUUAUGAUAAGGUAUCAGGCCUGAUUAUAGUCAUGUCUUCUGAGGCCUGAUUACAGCAAACAACUUUCAUGGGUUGUGUCAUCCUGAGGUCAUCUGGUAUCUGAGAUCUGUCAUAUAUUUAAAUGUAUGUUUAAAUACAUGUUUGCACAAUGUGUUACUUUUUAAGGUCUGUGCUGCUUUUAGUUUAGACUAGGGUUACAUAAUAUACAAGUGGUAACACUUUUAAUAGCCCUGGUUUUGUCCUGUAGAGAUUGCACGCUAAAUAUCUUUAUGAAAAAACAUGUGGGGAUCUGUGUGUGUCCUUUUCUGAUUGAUGCCACUGGGUUCCUUUUCCAUUUGGAAUUUCAAAAUGACUCUCUUCUUUAUAUAUUCUAGAUUAAAUGAGCACUGGAAAAAAUAGGGCCUUCAGCAAGGCUGAUAGUUCUGUGGAAGACAGAAUCAUUUUUUGUUCUCUAGGCCAACUGUUGGAUUUUUUUUUAAACGAAUCAUAUUUUUCUUAAACAUUCGUGGGAGCAGUUUGCAUUUUUCCUGAGUCUCAUUUCAGGCUGAAAUUGUUCCAGAAGACUACACAGCCUGCGUCUCUCUGCCUCCCCCCCUCCCAUUUUUAGCUUGGGAUAACCAAGAAAGUCAUAAUUACAGGACUCUGUGUGUUACCUGUACUGUUUUUAACUUGAAGCUGUUUGAGAACUUACCAUGCCUUUGUAUACGCUACCAUUUAAUAAUGAAUGGUUAGCAGAAGACAGCUGAGAUUUUCAUUAAAUGCCCUUCGCAUUUUUGACAUCCAAGCUUUGUUAAAAGUAACAUCAACAAAUUAUUGCUGAGAGUUACAAAUAAUGCAAUAUUAGUGCUAGUCGGAGACUCCCUAAUUAUAAAAAUACCAAGAAAAUAAAUAUUAAAAUAGGCAAGAGGACCCUUUGGAACUUUUGAUGUCACUUACUGUGUUAUAUACUGCCUAGUUCUAGGUGGGUAUUUUUUAAGGAAUAUUUUGCAAAUUGGGUAUAAGAUUUUUUAGCGUUGGUGAUAAUUUUCUUUAACAAGGUGAGUCAUUUGGUAAGUGGCUACACUUGUAUCAGAACUCCACCUCAGGUAGGUGUAGUUGACUUUCAAGGAAUGCGCUGAUAUUUAUUUCAGGAGGAAUGAACACCUGAGCAUUAGAUAAAACAAAUGGGUUGCUUGAAGAUAUCAUUAAAUUUUUCCUAAACAUUCGUACAGGGAAAAACUGUGCUGGUUUGUUUUGCCUCUUGGUUCUUUCCUUCCAGAAACAGUGUUCACACUUAUGAAUAUCAUAAGAGCAGAGAAGCCUAUGAGGUCUCUCUACUGACAUGGCACUAGUAUUAAAUUAAAGGUUUGAUUUUUUUUUUCCCGUUGUAGGGGCCAGGUUCUGCAUAGAGUAUUUUUGGUCAGUCUCACAGAAGCUGCAAUGAUUUCCCUAGUCUUCCUGUUGUUUGUAUGUGACCACUGGGGGGAGACUUUACAAUUUAGGUUGACAGCCCUGUAUUGCUCUCCCCCCCCCAUACAUGGCUGCUAAUCAUCCCUGGGCACUUUGCCAAACUGCUGGAAGUGUGUUGAGGAGGAUGCACUCAGAAUCAAGUCUUGAUCAAGGCGUCUAAAUGACUUUUAUGUCUUUAACUCACAGCACACUCACAAAAUACCACUCUUUAUGGAUUGUGUUAUUCGCCGUCUACUUUCUGGUCUACAGCUCUGUGGGCUAACUAAAUAUCUAACAUAGUGAAAAAUGAGAUUCAUAAAUAAAUUAGAGCUUUCAAAGAUCUUACUCUACUGAUAUUAAUCUUAGAAGCCAUGCAGGUUUCCGUUACGUGCUUUGUGUACAUAAAUAUUAGUGGUCUGGAAAGAUCUAGAGAGAACACUGCUAUUCUGCAACGUGUACUGUAUUCAGACCUCUUUAAGCUGAUUGAUUAGUCUCCUAUUUUAAAAAGCUUUCAGAGAAAGAGAUACUGGUACAAGCAUCCCUUGUACCUAAUUUCGCCACCGAGGGGAAGUUCUUCCUUAUUGUAAUAAAAGAGAUAAGAUUAGAACUGGCAGCUUUGUUGAUCGUUAAGCUGUAUCUAUUCUCAGGAGGUACAGUAAAGUCAGAAAUAAGUUUAGUUUCUAAUUUUCUCUUCUGACAGUAUUUGACAUUGUUAAUGUCCAGUUCAGUAACAGUGAACUCAGCAAACAAAGGAUGUUAGGUUUACAGUAGCUUGGAAAGAUCUUAAAUUCUUCUUUAACAACUUCAUACAGUUUUGAUUUUAGUAGAUUCAUUCACAGUAUAUAGUAAGCAGGAUAGAAUUUGAAGUCAUUUAUAUCAUCCUGUCAUCCCAGAUUCUUCUUGUAUAAGAUGGCUUUGCAUUUUUUUCCUUAAAAAAAAUUAUAAUCUACAAGAAGAGUUCUCUUCUGCUUAGGAAAUAUUCAUUCCUGGCUAACCUCAACAUUGUGUUAAUGCUUGGAGAAUAGUUUCUAAGAGUCUGUUAAAGUUACGACUGAUGCAAAGCAAAAUGAGAAAGACAAUGUAGUGAGUUUACCGUAAAGCUCAAGUUAUUCUCAAAUCCUUUCCACUGCCUUCCUGUAUAUGAUCUACCAUUUUACACCUUUUCCUCUUAAAUCAAUUACUCCUUUACCACUUCUUUAGCAUUCUCUCUUGUCACUAUACUCCAUCUACACUGUCCUCCCCCCCCGCCCCCCCCACCGCCCCAAAGUGUCAUGGCUUACUCCUGACCUAGGACUGUUCUCUCUGCCCAGAAUUCUCUUCCUAAAACCUGGCUCCUUUUCAUCAUUUCAGGUUUCAAUUCAGUUAUCUUCUCAGAGAAGGAUUAUUAUCUAACCACCCUGUCAGUGUGGCACCAUCCUCUUUUCCCUCUAUCCCAUUACCUUAAUUUUUUUUUUCUGCAAACCAUUUAUCACUAUCUGAAAAUGUAUUUUAUUUUUAUUUAUUUAUUUAGGGCCACACCCACGAUAUAUGGAAGUUCCCAGCUACAGCUCCAAUUCAACCCCUAGCCUGGGAACCUCCAUAUGCUGUGGGCACAGCCCUAAAAGGUGGGGAAAAAAAAAAAAGUUUAUUCUCUCACAGUUUUGGAGGCCAGACAUCUGAAAUCAGUAUCAUUGGGCCAAAGUCAGGGUGCUCCCUCCAAAGGCUGCAGAAGAGGGAGUUCCCAUUGUGGCUCAGCAGUUAUGAACCCAACUAAGAUGCACGAGGAUUCGGGUUUGAUCCCUGGCCUCAGCUCAGUGGGUUGGAGAUCCAGUGUUGCUGUGAGCCGUGGUGUAGGUCACAGACUUGGCUCAGAUCCCGAGUUGCUGUGGCAUAGGCCAGCAACUACAGCUCUGAUUCGACCCUAGCUUGGGAACUGCCGUGUGCUGCAGGUGCAGACACUGAAAAGAUAAAAUGAAAAGACAAAGGCUCCAGAAGAGACUGUAUCCCUCGCUGCUUCUGUAGUUUCUGAUGGCUGCCAGAAUUCCUUGGUUUCUGGUUGCAUCACUCCAGUCUUCAAGAGCAGAAUUUCAAACCUUCCUCAGUUCUAGUCUUCUCAGCACCUUUUCUUGGGUGUGAAAAAGAGAAAUCUCUUUUUUGCCUCUCUCUUAUAAGGACACAUAUGAUGGCACUUGAGGGCCCCCCUGUUGAUCCAGGAUAAUCUCCCCAUCACAGAAUCCUUAAUUUAGUCAUAUCUGCAAAGGCCCUUUUUCCAAAUAAUGUAAGCUUCCCAGGUUCUUAGGACUCAUAAGGCUAUAGAUAGCUUCUCAUCUGAUGAUACAGUAAGAGCUAAUGUCACAGUUAUUUCCAAAUUUUUGGAAGUUUUAGAAAAUGUUCUUUUAAUACUGUAAUGACAGAUUACAAAUUAUAAGAUAUUACUAUAAAUAGUUUAUUGCUAUUUUGAGCUUAAUGGUUGAGUUAUUUUUCAUUGGCUUUUCAUUAACUAUAAUAUUUGGAGUUUUGCUUACUAGCAAAAUAUUUACUGUUUCUUGGAGUUCCCGUCAUGGCGAAGUGGAAAUGAAUCCGACUAGGAACCAUGAGGUUGCAGGUUCGAUCCCUGGCCUUGCUCGGUGAGUUAAGGGUAUGUCAUUGCCGAGAGCUGUGGUGUGAGUUGCAGACGCAGCUCAGAUCCUGCAUUGCUGUGGCUGUGGUGUAGGCUGGCAGCUGUAGCUCCUAUUCGCCCCCUAGCCGGGGAACCUCCAUAUGCCGUGGGGGGGGCCCUAAAAAACAAAAAAAAAAAAAAAAAAA
rnacentral:lncRNA from 1 species